rnacentral:rRNA from 1 species
CGCCUAACACAUGCAAGUCGAACGAAGUAGCAAUACUUAGUGGCAGACGGGUGAGUAACAUGUAGGUAUCUACCCUUUGGCCUGGAAUAACACGAGGAAACUUGUGCUAAUACCGGAUAAGUCUUUACGGAGAAAGCUUUAUGCACCAUUGGAUGAGCCUGCACUUGAUUAGUUUGUUGGUGGGGUAAUGGCCUACCAAGACUGUGAUCAAUAGCUGAUUUGAGAGGAUGAUCAGCCACAUUGGGACUGAGACACGGCCCAAACUCCUACGGGAGGCAGCAGUGGGGAAUCUUGCACAAUGGAGGAAACUCUGAUGCAGCGAUGCCGCGUGAGUGAAGAAGGCCCUUGGGUUGUAAAGCUCUUUCGUCGGGGAAGAAAAUGACUGUACCCGAAUAAGAAGGUCCGGCUAACUUCGUGCCAGCAGCCGCGGUAAUACGAAGGGACCUAGCGUAGUUCGGAAUUACUGGGCUUAAAGAGUUCGUAGGUGGUUGAAAAAGUUGGUGGUGAAAUCCCAGAGCUUAACUCUGGAACUGCCAUCAAAACUUUUCAGCUAGAGUAUGAUAGAGGAAAGCAGAAUUUCUAGUGUAGAGGUGAAAUUCGUAGAUAUUAGAAAGAAUACCAAUUGCGAAGGCAGCUUUCUGGAUCAUUACUGACACUGAGGAACGAAAGCAUGGGUAGCGAAGAGGAUUAGAUACCCUCGUAGUCCAUGCCGUAAACGAUGUGUGUUAGACGUUGGAAAUUUAUUUUCAGUGUCGCAGCGAAAGCGAUAAACACACCGCCUGGGGAGUACGACC